GAUGAACGCUGACGGCGUGCCUAAUACAUGCAAGUCGAGCGAACGGACGAGAAGCUUGCUUCUCUGAUGUUAGCGGCGGACGGGUGAUUAACACGUGGAUAACCUACCUAUAAGACUGGGAUAACUUCGGGAAACCGGAGCUAAUACCGGAUAAUAUGUUGAACCGCAUGGUUCAAAAGUGAAAGACGGUCUUGCUGUCACUUAUAGAUGGAUCCGCGCUGCAUUAGCUAGUUGGUAAGGUAACGGCUUACCAAGGCAACGAUGCAUAGCCGACCUGAGAGGGUGAUCAGCCACACUGGAACUGAGACACGGUCCAGACUCCUACGGGAGGCAGCAGUGGGGAAUCUUCGGCAAUGGGCGAAAGCCUGACGGAGCAACGCCGCGUGAGUGAUGAAGGUCUUCGGAUCGUAAAACUCUGUUAUUAGGGAAGAACAUAUGUGUAAGUAACUGUGCACAUCUUGACGGUACCUAAUCAGAAAGCCACGGCUAACUACGUG
rnacentral:rRNA from 1 species